rnacentral:rRNA from 1 species
GACGAACGCUGGCGGCGUGCUUAACACAUGCAAGUCGAGCGGAAAGGCUCCUUCGGGGGUACUCGAGCGUCGAACGGGUGAGUAACACGUGAGUAAUCUGCCCUUGGCUUCGGGCUAGCCACCGGAAACGGUGAUUAAUACCGGAUACGACCACUUCUCGCAUGGCAUGGGGGUGGAAAGUUUUUCGGCCAGGGAUGUGCUCGCGGCCUAUCAGCUUGAUGGUGAGGUAAUGGCUCCCCAUGGCUUCGACGGGUAGCCGGCCUGAGAGGGUGACCGGUCACACUGGGACUGAGACACGGCCCAGGCUCCUACGGGAGGCAGCAGUGGGGAAUAUUGGACAAUGGGCGGAAGCCUGAUCCAGCAACGCCGCGUGAGGGAUGACGGCCUUCGGGUUGUAAACCUCUUUCAGCAGGGACGAAGCGCAAGUGACGGUACCUGCAGAAGAAGCACCGGCCAACUACGUGCCAGCCGCCGCGGUAAGAC